CGGCAGCACGGGUACUUGUACCUGGUGGCGAGCGGCGGACGGGUGAGUAAUGCCUAGGAAUCUGCCUGGUAGUGGGGGAUAACGCUCGGAAACGGACGCUAAUACCGCAUACGUCCUACGGGAGAAAGCAGGGGACCUUCGGGCCUUGCGCUAUCAGAUGAGCCUAGGUCGGAUUAGCUAGUUGGUGAGGUAAUGGCUCACCAAGGCGACGAUCCGUAACUGGUCUGAGAGGAUGAUCAGUCACACUGGAACUGAGACACGGUCCAGACUCCUACGGGAGGCAGCAGUGGGGAAUAUUGGACAAUGGGCGAAAGCCUGAUCCAGCCAUGCCGCGUGAGUGAAGAAGGCCUUAGGGUUGUAAAGCUCUUUCAGCGGGGAAGAUAAUGACGGUACCCGCAGAAGAAGCCCCGGCUAACUUCGUGCCAGCAGCCGCGGUAAUACGAAGGGGGCUAGCGUUGUUCGGAUUUACUGGGCGUAAAGCGCGCGUAGGCGGAUCACUAAGUCAGGGGUGAAAUCCCGAGGCUUAACCUCGGAACUGCCUUUGGUACUGGUGAUCUGGAGAUCGGGAGAGGUUGGUGGAAUUCCGAGUGUAGCGGUGGAAUGCGUAGAGAUCCGGAGGAAGACCGGUGGCGAAGGCGGUCUGCUGGGCAGUUUCUGACACUGAUGCGCGACAGCGUGGGG
rnacentral:rRNA from 1 species